GACGAACGCUGGCGGUGUGCUUAACACAUGCAAGUCGAACGGUAAGGCCCUUUCGGGGGUACACGAGUGGCGAACGGGUGAGUAACACGUGAGUAACCUGCCCUCAUCUCUGGGAUAACAGUCGGAAACGGUUGCUAAUACUGGAUAUGAGCUUGCAAGGCAUCUUGUGGGUUGGAAAGAUUUUUUUGGUUGGGGAUGGACUCGCGGCCUAUCAGCUUGUUGGUGAGGUAGUGGCUCACCAAGGCUUCGACGGGUAGCCGGUCUGAGAGGGCGACCGGCCACAUUGGGACUGAGAUACGGCCCAAACUCCUACGGGAGGCAGCAGUGGGGAAUAUUGCACAAUGGACGGAAGUCUGAUGCAGCAACGCCGCGUGCGGGAUGACGGCCUUCGGGUUGUAAACCGCUUUCAAUUGUGACGAAGCUUUUUGUGACGGUAGCAGUAGAAGAAGCACCGGCUAACUACGUG
rnacentral:rRNA from 1 species